rnacentral:rRNA from 1 species
GCAGUCGAACGCUUCUUUUUCCACCGGAGCUUGCUCCACCGGAAAAAGAAGAGUGGCGAACGGGUGAGUAACACGUGGGUAACCUGCCCAUCAGAAGGGGAUAACACUUGGAAACAGGUGCUAAUACCGUAUAACAAUCAAAACCGCAUGGUUUUGAUUUGAAAGGCGCUUUCGGGUGUCGCUGAUGGAUGGACCCGCGGUGCAUUAGCUAGUUGGUGAGGUAACGGCUCACCAAGGCCACGAUGCAUAGCCGACCUGAGAGGGUGAUCGGCCACAUUGGGACUGAGACACGGCCCAAACUCCUACGGGAGGCAGCAGUAGGGAAUCUUCGGCAAUGGACGAAAGUCUGACCGAGCAACGCCGCGUGAGUGAAGAAGGUUUUCGGAUCGUAAAACUCUGUUGUUAGAGAAGAACAAGGAUGAGAGUAACUGUUCAUCCCUUGACGGUAUCUAACCAGAAAGCCACGGCUAACUACGUGCCAGCAGCCGCGGUAAUACGUAGGUGGCAAGCGUUGUCCGGAUUUAUUGGGCGUAAAGCGAGCGCAGGCGGUUUCUUAAGUCUGAUGUGAAAGCCCCCGGCUCAACCGGGGAGGGUCAUUGGAAACUGGGAGACUUGAGUGCAGAAGAGGAGAGUGGAAUUCCAUGUGUAGCGGUGAAAUGCGUAGAUAUAUGGAGGAACACCAGUGGCGAAGGCGGCUCUCUGGUCUGUAACUGACGCUGAGGCUCGAAAGCGUGGGGAGCAAACAGGAUUAGAUACCCUGGUAGUCCACGCCGUAAACGAUGAGUGCUAAGUGUUGGAGGGUUUCCGCCCUUCAGUGCUGCAGCUAACGCAUUAAGCACUCCGCCUGGGGAGUACGACCGCAAGGUUGAAACUCAAAGGAAUUGACGGGGGCCCGCACAAGCGGUGGAGCAUGUGGUUUAAUUCGAAGCAACGCGAAGAACCUUACCAGGUCUUGACAUCCUUUGACCACUCUAGAGAUAGAGCUUCCCCUUCGGGGGCAAAGUGACAGGUGGUGCAUGGUUGUCGUCAGCUCGUGUCGUGAGAUGUUGGGUUAAGUCCCGCAACGAGCGCAACCCUUAUUGUUAGUUGCCAUCAUUCAGUUGGGCACUCUAGCAAGACUGCCGGUGACAAACCGGAGGAAGGUGGGGAUGACGUCAAAUCAUCAUGCCCCUUAU